rnacentral:rRNA from 1 species
UGCGUAGGUGGUUUUUUAAGUCCGUUGUGAAAUCCCUGGGCUCAACCUGGGAAUGGCAGUGGAUACUGGAAAGCUAGAGUGCGGUAGAGGGUAGUGGAAUUCCCGGUGUAGCAGUGAAAUGCGUAGAGAUCGGGAGGAACACCAGUGGCGAAGGCGGCUACCUGGACCAGCACUGACACUGAGGCACGAAAGCGUGGGGAGCAAACA